ACUAUGCAUCUUUGCAAAGGUUUCAGAACUCAAGUGCAUCUCUCUUAUUUUAGACAUAUUAAGAACUAUGCCUUCAAUCAUUUGAGUCCCCAUGUUUUUGGCCAGUACUUGGAAAAUAUCAUCAGGAAUCCACAACCUACUACGUUUGCCAGGAUCUUUAGAUUCUUCUUGUACAAUUUCAUGACCCAUUUCUUUCAGCAAAUCAUGCAUCAACAAACUAUUAUUUGAAAUGGUUAUAAGAGCUUUAUCCUCAAGAACUGCAAAUGCUAUAUCUGGGAAGAAGCCACAACCUUCCAAAAUAUCUCUUACAAAUUCUUUGUUCUCCUCAUUGAAAAAGCAUGCAAUAUCAAGAAAUACAUCUUUCUGUGUAUCAUCUAGUCCAUCAAAACUUACUCUCAACACAUCAUGAAUUUUCAAGUCAGGAAUCAUUGCUAGUUCAUUUUGCACACUUUGCCACUUAAGCAUGGUUUUAUCAUUGAGAAAAGCACCCAAAACCUUAAGAGCCAAAGGAAGACCUUUGGCAAAAGAUGUAAACUGUUUUGAGAGCCCCAGAUACUCUAUUUUAGGGUUAUUUUGCCUGAACGCAUGCUGACUAAAGAGCUGAAGGGCUUGAUCAGUAUUUAGAUACUGAACAUCAUAUAUAUCCUUUACUCCAUGUGUAAAUAGCAAGUGUUUGUCACGUGUGGUUAUGAUGAUCCUACUUCCUUGACCAAACCAAUCAGGCUCUCUGGCCAAUGCUUCCAAUUGCUUCAGAUCAUCCACAUCAUCAAGAACAAGAAGAACCUUUUUGUGACAUAGCCUUCUCUUGAUUAUACUAAAAUUGGCAUUGAAAGUCCAUGUAUUUAUUUUCCUUUUUUCCAAUAAGAUUUUCUGCUGUAAAGAAGCAGCACCAUGUUCUCUGAAAUUUUCUUUAACAUUUGCAAGAAAACAAUGAACCUCAAAUUUGCUACAAAGUUUGUCAUAAAUAACCUUCGCAAUUGUUGUUUUACCUAUGCCGCCCAUACCCCAAAUUCCUACAAUACGAACAUUUGGUAACCCAUUCUGUAGUAACUUUAUAAUCUGUCUGACUCGUGAGUCAAUUCCAAUCAGGUCCUUUAAAUCUCUUGAAGAUAUAUGAUUCAAUUUCUUCAAAAUAUCCUCAACAAUUUCCUCAAUAAGUUUGGAUUCAGGCCUUAUGACUAGCGAAUCCCACCCAGAUAAGCUAGCAGCUUCAUUCAACGCAGCUCUCCAUUUUUGCGCCUUAUCUAUGCUCUGCUUGAAACCCUUCUCAAGUUUGACAAAUGCAUCCCCAAAACUCCCUUUUUGCUCUGCAACAUCCAUGGGAUUAACACGGUAGAAAACGUAAAACCAUUUGGUCAGCCAGCUUCCUGCAUUCAAGAAUCUUCACCAGUUCAUCCAAACACCACGGGGAAGCUGCAUAAUUUUCUGAGAAAAUGAUAACUGAAAUCAUUGAUUCUUCAAUGACUUUCAAGAGAGUUGAUGAGAUUUCCUCUCCUCUAUCAAGUUCAUUAUCUAUGAAGGUUUUGAUCUGUUUCCGAUGCAGAGCAGAAUAGAGAUCGCUGGUAAAAUUAUCACGGGUAUCUUCGCCUCUGAAACUAAGGAAAACUUCAUACUUGGGUCGAGCGCAAGAAUCAGAGGAAGAAGC
rnacentral:misc_RNA from 1 species